AUGAUGAGUUCUGCUCUGUUUCUGUUUCUGCUAAUGCUCUGGAUUCAGGAAACCAGUGGUGAUGUUGUGAUGACCCAGACUCCACUAUCUUUGUCAGUUACCAUUGGACAACCAGCCUCCAUCUCUUGCAAGUCAAGUCAGAGCCUCUUACAUAGUAAUGGAAACACCUAUUUGAAUUGGUUAUUGCAGAAGCCAGGCCAGUCUCCAAAGCAACUAAUCUAUCAGGUGUCUAAAUUGGAUGCUGGGGUCCCUGACAGGUUCAGUGGCAGUGGAUCAGAGACAGAUUUUACACUUAAAAUCAGUAGAGUGGAGCCUGAGGAUCUGGGAGUUUAUUACUGCUUGCAAGGUACACAUUAUCCUAGCACAGUGAUACAGACCCUAUCAAAAACUUCCUUGCCUAGGGGCAGCUCAGCUGGUAACCUGCUGUUUGACUGGAGAGGAGCAGAGAACCCUGUGUGUGAAAGAGUGGGAGGGGUUAGGCAAAAUGAUUAA